UUACCGAUUGGAAAUGAAACAAAAUUAGGUUUUUUAAAUGGUGGAUUUGUGGAUCUGUGUAAAAGUUAGGUUUUUGUUUUCAAAUUUUGUUGACGGUGGUGUUUCUGGUGAAAGGCUUCUCAAGAUUACAAGAUCUUGGAAUCGUGAGUGACGGCGUCAAGAAAUAGGACAAGUUUUUACCACAUUUCUCUUUUCACAAUCAGAGUCGACCAAUUAACGUAGGAUUAAGACAUUUUGGCUUAGAUCUCUUAUGGAUAUUUUGGCUGAAAACGAAGAGCUUGUAAGGAAAAAUGAAACAUUGGUGAUAAAAAUUGAGGAAUUGAUGAGCUCAAAUUAGAGUGUGGCCAAAAAAAUUGAUGAGUUGUGCGACAACCUCCGUAAGUUAUCGAAGAGAAAUUAAUGAAGAGUUGAUGAAGUCCUUAACAUUGUCUGAAACCAAAGCGUUGAAGCUCUAGCUUUUGUUGGUUGUUAUGUUAGUUAUGGGCUUUGCCAUUUGUUUUAGGAGUUUUAGAUUUGUGAACAAAUUAAGGAAACUUAUGAUUCUUGCCUUGAGGGAGAUGUCAUUUGA